GUCUACGGCCUUGCCACCAUGAACGAGCCCGAUCCCGUCUGAUCCGGAAGCUAAGCAGGGUCGGGCCUGGUUAGUACUUGGAUGGGAGACCGCCUGGGAAGACCGGGUGCUGUAGGCA
rnacentral:rRNA from 1 species